GAUGAACGCUAGCGGCAGGCUUAAUACAUGCAAGUCGAGGGGCAGCAGGUCUGUAGCAAUACAGAUGCUGGCGACCGGCAAACGGGUGCGGAACACGUACACAACCUUCCUUUAAGUGGGGAAUAGCCCAGGGAAACUUGGAUUAAUACCCCGUAAAAUUAUGAAGUGGCAUCACUUUAUAAUUAAAGCUCAGGCGCUUAACUGAUGGGUGUGCGGCUGAUUAGGUAGUUGGCGGGGUAACGGCCCGACCAAGCCUGCGAUCAGUAACGUGGUGUGAGAGCACGACCAGUCACACGGGCACUGAGACACGGGCCCGACUCCUACGGGAGGCAGCAGUAAGGAUA
rnacentral:rRNA from 1 species